CAGAAUUGGAGGAGAGUUUCCGGAUGAGCUACCUCCUCGCUUAUUUUCUCAUACUCAAGGUGCCAGUGCACAAUACUUCCAGGGCCUCCAAGCUUCGGGGUCACCUGGAUCGUGAGCAAGAAGCUCUUGUACUCUUUCAUCAGAUCACCGUCGAUAACCCUAAACGUGAUCAAGUUCUUAUUCGGCUCCACUGCCUCAAUCCUCUCCUUAGCCACCUUUGCCUCUCUAUCUGCACCAAUUAUUUAACAAUUGAUAUUAUAUGUUUAACUUUGAGACAUGGUUAUACAUGAACAAGAUGUAUAUAACAUUGACUUGCCAUGAACGUAGUUCCAGAAGACGAUAGAGCCGACUUGACCCCAGUCGCCUUCGUGAAGAUCACAACCUUGAAUGUUUCCUGGAGAUGCUUUAGAGACAUGGUGUGGUUUCCCGGCGAACAUGUGAUGGAACUUCUCAGCGGAAGCUUUGAUCUCCACGUCUGUCUCUAGCUUUCCCACCAAACUAGGCGUCUCUGGUGUCUUCACCUCCUCUUCCUCGGCCAAGAGAUGUUCGUCGAUCUCUUUGGAGACCUCGACACAGAACUGGAGGAGAGUUUCCGGGUGAGCUACCUCCUCGCUAAUUUUCUCAUACUCAAG
rnacentral:lncRNA from 1 species